rnacentral:rRNA from 1 species
UACGUAGGGGGCUAGCGUUGUCCGGAUUUAUUGGGCGUAAAGAGCGUGUAGGCGGACAGGUAGGUCUGCUGUGAAAACUCGAGGCUUAACCUCGAGAUGUCGGCGGAAACCAUCUGGCUAGAGUCCGGAAGAGGAGAAUGGAAUUCCCGGUGUAGCGGUGAAAUGCGCAGAUAUCGGGAAGAACACCCGUGGCGAAGGCGGUUCUCUGGGACGGUACUGACGCUGAGACGCGAAAGCGUGGGGAGCAAACAGG